UUCAAAACAGAAAAAUCGUUCAAGUUUAGAGAAUUCCGAGUAAGUGGUUCCUAUUAAUGUUUUAGAAAGGUGUUAGGCACCUAAAACAUCCGCUAACUUGCGGUUAUCCGGACUGUUUGAAAAUCGUCUUUAAUUAACUUCGAAAAGUGAUUAAUUUUUGGAAAGAAAGCGAUUUUGAAAAUAUUUUGGUGUUUAUACAAAACUAAUUUUUUAGCGACUUAACUAAGGAUUUAACUAGGUUCGCAAGAAGCACGUAAAAUAAGUAAGCGAAAAGGAAAAGGGAGAAAUAGUGAUUUAGGCUCUUUAAGCGCAAAACGUCGCCCCUGUCCUAAUCUAGUUGGGUCUUUGAUCCACAUUUUUUCACCUAUCCUAAUUCUAUAUUUCCGCGACCUUUUUGGCUCAAUUUUCACUCCACCUGUAUUAAAUACAACCUUGGCUUCAUGGCCCAAAUGAAUGAAUAAAAUAAAUAAAGACAACAAUAAUUAAACGAAACGAAAUAAUAAAUGAGACUUUUGUCUCUUAGUCGCUUCAAGAAUGAGACUUUAACCCAUUUCUUCUUCUUUCGACUCCCUAUAUUUAUUGUGUCACGAGAUUUAUGUUGAACUUACUCUAAGAGUUGACUCGAUGGAGAUGACGGGCCUCAAUGGCCGUGAAGAAAAUGCAGCGAGAAAUUGAAUCCAUUUUUGGAUUCAAAGCAAAUAGUACAUGUAGAGAAAAAGGGUAAGGAUUAGGAUCCAAUAACAGUAAAAGAAAACAAAGCUAUCGUUAUAAAGGAAUCAUGCAUAGAUAAAGAAGCAUCAUGUAGAUCACCAAAGUAGGAAAUAGGAAAUGAGGAAAUGACCAGGAAAACAACAUUAGCUAAAUAGAUGUUUGACAUGGUUUGAAAACUUUGAUGAUUUGAAAAAAUGUUGGACAAUAACUGAAGGGACAAAUGCAAACAACUGUUGUGUAGUAGAUCACUUGAUUUUCAACCUAAUAUGAAAUAAUUCUGCAAGCAUGGACACACCAGAAACUUCAAAGGCUGUCAAGCACAUAUAACUUGUACAUAAAACAAUAAGUGAAAAUGAUUUGAGAUCAACACUUUAUCAAAAUGGGGGAAAACAUUCAAAUUUUUGAACAUGACUAAACACUCUAUAAAUACAACAAGAUAUGAUGGAAUCUAGGGUUAAUUAACGAAAUAUCACCUAAGAGGGACAAAUCGUCUUGAGACCUAAUGACCUAGCUACUAAUUACCUUACGUUGAGAGCAAAACUAAACAGGAGGAUAGAUAAUCAAGUCAAGAACACCAUAUACUAAAUAGAGCAUCGAGACUAAAGCGGAAUAUCUAGCUAAAACUACCGCGCGUCAAGCCACGAUAUUCGAGUAUAAACAUGACAUAAUUUUUGAUGCUAAAAUGGUUUCCUAACCAAAACUAAACAUGAAUUUAGAGAUUGAACUCGAAUAACAGAUCAAAACAACUUUUGAUACUCAUGACAUCAAAUUAAUCAUGGACAGUGGCCUAAACAAUACGAAAAGCUGAAUCGAGAUAAUAAACCAGAAACGAAAAGCAAAGUUUCAAUGAUAUAUGUGAUAAUUUAUACUACAAACUCACAGAUAAUCACUAACAUCUAUUAAGAGGUAGUAUAUUCAACGUAAUCGCAUUGAUAAUUUUGACAUUAACACCGAUUCAGCAAAUAGCAUAACAGUAGUCACAAACACAUCCUAAGGCCAUCAUAGCCAACUACAGCAGACAAUCCCAGCCUCAUUCAUGAUAAAUAGAUAACUACUUUUACGAAGAAAGAGGGAAUGAAGCAGGAAACAACGGAAUUAAAAGGGACCAGCGUGUGUUUACCUCCUUCGGGGCAGCAAAAUAGGACAAAGAGCUAGCGUUGAAUUCACAGCCACUGGAAAAUGAUGUCAUCGUUACCUCACAACCAUAAUCAAUCGACGCAUAUUUGAAGCUUCCGAUUAAAUGGUCAGAUUUCAAAGAAGAAGGAAUGAGAAAACCUUACUAAAGAAGCUUAUGGGCUCUCAAAUUUUCUUCUGCUUUGCUCCUUUUUCAGAAUUUUUCUCAACCCAAAAUUUCGAACCCCAAAGAAAUUUUUUCUCUCCCUUAGCUUUUAAUCCCCGAUUUUUCCAACAACCCCAAAACAAAGCACGGAAGCCUCUUAUAUAGAAGACCAAUUGGGGUAUUUUCGGGAUUCAAAAAAAGGGUUUCUUGGAUUUCCAAUUCCAAAAUUCCCCCCCCCCCCACAACUUGUUUGUUGUGCUUAAAACGUACCAUCUUCUUUGGAUUUUUCCAUAAAAUGACAAAUGGUGGACCAAUUAAAAUGAAGAAAAAUGAAUUUUCCCCAAAACCAAUGAGAAAUCUCCACCAACGUACGAAUUCGUACAUGGUACCCAAGAUUCGCGGCAUUUGAACGUUGGGGUGAGCCAACUCACCCAUUUCUAGAAGCUUGUUGGAUGUUUCGUAUGCCAACUCAGCGGGUUGAAGUCAGGUCGGUGAUGGGAUCGGGUGUGACUGUCGGAGCAGUCCAGUUUUGGAUUUGGACGAGUUUUGCUAUUGAGAAAACUUACGGGUGGGUGGAAAUCGGUUUUGGUUCGGUUGAAAUCAUCGUCGAUGUGGAAGUUUGUCGCGAUUUGGGGCUGUAGAAAAUUGCGUAUUGUUGUUUUGUUUGGCUGUUAAGGUGAAGGAGAGUGUAUUGAUGGUGUGGGCCGGGUCGUUGUUUGGAAGGUGGGCUAGAGCGGUCUUAUUUGUAAGAAUUGGGCCGUUGAUUUGAGAAUUGGGCUUGGGAACUUGUUUGGAGAAAUUGGGCCUUAAAUUGGGGUUAUUUAAUAAUUCCUAUUAAAUUUAAUUGGGUUAUUAAAUAACCCUAAUUAAAUUUAAUUAGAUUAUAAUAAUCAUAAUUAAAUUUAAUUGGAUUAAGAAUAACUCAAAUUAAAUUUAAUCGGAUUAAAAUAAUCCCAAUUAAGAAAUGGUAACUUUUGGGAUUAAGAUUGUAUUACAAUUUAAACGACUUAUUUAAAUUCUAACCAAAUUGAAUAUCUAUUGGUCAAUUGCAUUACAAUUGGACCAAUUGGAUUCCAAUUGAGGUCAUAUUUAAUUCGUUCGCUAAAUUGAAUCGCAAUCUGGCACGAAUCAAGUAACAAAUUAACCUCGAAUUUCUUAAUUUGAUAAAAAUCCAACAAAUAUUCCUCCAAAUAAAAUAUUUUGAGAAAAAAUCAUAUUUAAAAUCAAGACUUUAUCCAUUCGAAUUAAUUUUCAAAUUUAAUCAAUGGCAGUCUAAUUUUAAAUAAAAAUAUUCAUUUACAUAACUAAAUUUAUACACUCAUAUAUAAAGAUAUGAAAAGGUAUAAUCGUUAAUUAAAUUAAUUCAAAUAAAUAUUUUAAAUUGUAUUUAUUUGAAUUAAAUAAUUGUCGUCAUUUUAUUUUAAAAUUGAAGAAACUCGAAAUUAAAUUAGGUUGUGGAGGGAAAAAAUUAGUUGUCAACAACUGUCCCCUCCCUUUGGGUAGACUGGAUACAAGUAACCCUGGGCAAAGGGAGGUUGAUGUUCUUAAUUUUUGUCCGACCACAAAUUUGUUUAUGAAAGAGGUUGAUUUUUGCAUGAGUUUCAUGGAGUUAUGGCCGGACCUUGGUAUCAGGUUUCCUACACAUCUCAGGUUAUAUGAGAAUUCAGGCCACUUGUAGUUCAUAAAGCUUGAUUGCAAGCACGAUUUUCAAGAAAAUUUCACAAGCUAUCUCGGUUUUAAGGUUUUUGAAGAAAUCGAAAAGCUGGGGAAUAGAGGAAUUUGGGUGGAGGUUGGAAUGCAGUCGAGUUUUUCACAUAGAUCUCGUCCUACAUAUCCCCAAGAUUUCAGGGAAUCAGACUGCUUGUAGUUUGACUAGAUCGGCAGAAAAGAUAAUAUUUUAUUUCAGACGAUCUUUGGCUCAGGAUGAGUGACAAGUUGAUCGAGUUUCGAAAAAGAGGCUUGUAACCUAUUAACCAUGAAUGUGGUAUCCUUCACACCCAUAGACAAGAACUUACCUGGACAUAAUUUCCAAACUCUGAGUAUGUUGUCACUGACUUUGAAAGAAAAAGAAGGUUACCCUCGGCAUGACUUAAGAAAUAUCCCAGAGUUGAAGCUGAGACUUAGAACAUCCCAAAAUACCCAUGUUCCUUCUAAUAGGGGUGUGGUUGGAUGGUGGUGGUGAUCAUCCUUUAGCUCACGUCCAAAGAGUUAGACAUCCCUCUCUAGACUAUGUCCCAUUUUGCUGCUAAGAAAGAGUUUACGUUGUGUUGUGUACUAUCUGAAGUCGUCCACACCUGUGGUUUUGAUUUGACAUUUUUAUCCUCUCAGAUGAUCUCGACAAUGCUUCAAGCAAAAAGUGUUAGUGCUAAACAUAAUUCACGAGAGAGGUAUGUAGUCUUUUACCAUAUCUCCACGUGAUUUGUGGCCUGAAAAGCGGGGUUAUCUCUUCAUUUACUUGUUUGGAAUGAAAUAACUGGCAACAACAAACAACAACCCUCUUGGUUGUUGUAUAAUUAUGACAUUGUCGGUUGAAUAUGUCUUCAAAAUUGGGUAGUCCUUUUGGACACCGGUGAUACUUUAUGCAGAACGGUCUCUAUAACCGUGUAAUCUUAUGCGGGUGUGGCAACCCUUUUGGUUGCCUAUAUCACUAUUGUAUGUGUAAUGAUAACCUCUUCGGUUAUCAGAUGAUCGAUUUAUAUAUUUUCCUUAAAUUAUCAAUCUUUGGAUAAUCUUGCGUAUUAUUUGAUGUUGGAUACGAGGCGACUUACAAAUAUUCUUUGAAUUCCUAGCUUUUAGGUAAUUCUGCACAUUAUCCGACUUUGGAUAAGAGAUGGCUUACAAAUAUCCCUACAAUCGCUAGCUUUUAUGUAACACCCCGUACUUAAUUGCGUGCAUUAGUCAUUGUUAUAUGUGUUGGAGUAUAUGUAUUGAUCCUAAGUUAGGUAUAUAUGAGUUUAAGUAUGAGUAUUGAUUAUUUUGAGAUGGUUUCAAGUGCAUAGUUUGAUUAUAUGUGUAUAGGAAUCGACUUUAUUUAUAUCGGAAUUUUCCCGUCGAUGGUUCCAUACGAAGGUUAUUGAAUAAGCUUUCCAACGAUAUAAAGAUUUCCAAAAACGGAUAAGUUUCGGAUAUAAGCGAGCUCGUUCGAAACUUUAAAACGGUGGCCGGGAUGUGAACAGUAAAAUGUGCAGGAAACUACUGAGGCCUGCCAGUUUUUUGGGUCAACUUUGAACGAUCAUAACUCCCUCAAUAUAAUGAACUGGUUGAGCUACCAUAUAUCAAAAGAAAGAUCUUUGAGUCUUCUUUCCAAUGAAAUUGGUUUCAUCCAAAUCCAACAUCUGAGUAAGGAGUUAUACUCGUUUUACUUCAGCCUCUCAAAACAGAUUUUUAGGGUCAACUUCAAACGAUCAUAACUACUUGUACAGGACGAACUGGGUGGAUUAAUUUAUAUUAAAUGAAAGACCUUUGAAUUAUCUUUCUAACGAUACCAAUUUCACCCAAAUCCGAUAUCGGAGCAAAGAGUUAUGGCCGAUUUACUUUAGCCUAUCAAAACAGUCCACCAUGGACAGAUUCGGAUUUACUUAAAUUUUUAAGGGCAAUAUGGUCAUUUUCCAUCACCUCAUGGACGAAAAUUGGUCAUUAUAUACAUAUACUUAGCCUUAUAUCCACCAUUUAUCAUCCAAAUCAUUGAAGAAUAAGAAACCCUAGCCUAAGUUCAACUCCAAUUAUCUUGUGAUUCAACCGUAGAAAAUCCAAAUUGAUUCCGUAGUUGUGUUCACCGUCUCAAGGGCUUCGAGAAGCACCCCUUAUUUGUGCCAACAGGACUUCGAAAUCAAAAGGGCCAUUUUUUUUGGUAAGGAUGUAAAUUAUGUUGGUGUUAUUUAUAUGGAUAUGUAUAUAUAUAUAUAUAUGCAUGUGAGCAUAAGAAGUAUGUUAUUUGAUUGUUGUUGAAAGAUGAUUGGAAAUGAUGUUGGAUUAUUCUUGUGCAUGGUUGGAUUAUGUUAAAUUGUGAAGGAAUUUGGGGUGAUGAUGUGGUAUUGAUGAUGUGGUAUUGAGAUGAUGAUUAUAUACAUAUACACACAUAAACCUAUUGUUCAAGUUGGUUUUUGGAAUGUUUUGCAAAUAUUGGUAGUAUGGAAUUAUGGAAGAGAAUUGUGGUGUUGGGUUGCUAAUACUAGAUGCCAAACAUUUCAUUGUAGAUAAGUGAUUUGUAAAGGCGGGAAGUUGUGUUGAAUUGGUAUCUGAAUCUACAACGAGGUAUGUAAAGCAUACUCUAACAAUGUUCUUUGGCAUGAAAACACCAAUGUUCCAUCAAGUAAGAUUCCGAGGUUGUCCAAAAACAUGUAUUGUUCUACGUUACCAACGAAGUUGUUUCCAUCCUAUAAAGUGUCAAAAUGUUCAUUGAUAUACCAAAAGGCUCUUAUUUCAUUGUUGUGAUAUUGAUGAUUCUGAAACAUAUUGUUGAUGUACCAAUGAGUCCUUAUUACAUCGUUAUUGUAUAGAAGGUCUAUUACUUGGUUCCUAUUGAUGUAUCAUUGUUUCAAGGUAUCAAAAAUGUGGUGACGACCGAAAUAACAAUCUCAAAGAUUAAUUGAACUAAGUGAUGAAAGUUCUCUCUUAUCGGGUGGUAUCCCAGGGGCAUAAGCCUAGCAUGGGUCGAUCCCUAUUUCAUGUGUUUAUGGGUGGUAUCCCAGGGGCAUAAGCCUAGCAUGGGUCGAUCCCAGUUGAUAUGUACUGGAGGCAUCCUAAUGGUCACAGUACAGUACAGUAAUGAUUACAAAGACGAUAAGAACGAAGGUAAAGUGAUUGAAUAAAUACAAUGUACAGGUUGUCACAAGUUCUAGUAAGUGUGGUCCACUCCUAUUACGACUUAUUCACUUGUUUCUGAUUUCUAUUGAGCUCCUAUAUCAUAUGUGAUUAUUUACAGCUUUACAUACUCAGUACAUAUUUCGUACUGACGUCCCUCACGGGGGACCUGCAUUUCAUGCUGCAGGCACAGGUACCUCAACUCAUACACCGCACAAGUAGGAGCCAGGUCAUACAGCUAUUGUUGGUGAGCUCCAGUUUGCUUCGGAGCUUUCCGAGUCGGUUCCUUAUGUUUUGUUAUUGUACAUGAGUCACGUGUGGGCGGGGGUUUGUCCCGACCCUAGUUAUGUCAUGUAUAUCCUAGAGGCUUUGUAGACAUAAGGAAGGGUAAAGUCAUGGAAGUUUAUAUAGUAACGUUAUAUUUGUAUAUGUGGUGGCCCCGACGGCCAAGUAUUAUAUAUAUAUAUUUGUGCGUGUUGUGCUGAUACAGGUAAUUAGACCUUUCUAUAUGCAACGAAGUGCUGUCCAAUUUUUUUGGUGACAUGUAAGUGAAAGUACAGGUAUUUGAACGGGUUCUCCCGGGCCUUCUCGGCUUCGGGUGCCAGUCCGGCCCGAUGGGAUUUUGGGGCGUGACACAAGUGAUCAAAAAUCCACUAUGGUAUGAUGACACAUUUUUUAAAGACAAAACUCUCUUCUUAAAAGAUGAUAGUUUGUCAAUUGGAGGGGUUAGUGGUCCAAAAGAAGGGGGUGUAUGUUCUCCAAUGACCUAUUCAUUCUUGUGUGAACCCAUGCUUGAUCAAGGGCUUAAUGCUUGUAGAUCAAAGGGUGAUUCUAUAUGUGGGCACACCUUAAAUAAACUUUAUUUAAGUAACACCUUUCUAUACCACUUUUUUUGCAUAUGAUGAUACUCUUUCCUUUGAGUGGAGUAUGUUAUGUGAGAGUAGAGUGUCAAUGGGGCAAAUAGGUGUAUGAUUUUACCCAUGUUUAUGGAUUGCCUUUUCCUUUUGUCCUGGUAAUGAUUUGAAUAGUGGCGUUUGUGAUAAAAUACUUGGUUCAAAUGACAAGAAAGUUGUGGGUGAGGUUGUUGGCUUGCGUGGUGGUAAGUAUAGUAGUAACAUAUUUUUUCUCUCAUAUGAUUAUUGCUUGGUGUUAUUACUUGAUCUUAUAUGUUUAAUAAGAUAUAUUUGCCAAAUUAUGUAGAGAAUACCUUCGUAUUUAAUCUCCAAUGAUGAAUUAGGAGUAAUUCUAUUCUUUAAGAUAGUUAGUGCAUUGGAUAGAGUAUUGACUUGGAAUGACCUCAUUUAUGACAUGAAACAUAGUUAUAUGGGUUAUCAUGUGUUACAUGACUUAAAGGGAGAUUUUUUUUUCUAAAUUUAGAACCAUUGAGGACUUGUAUCAGUGGUUGCCUAAACACCAUGGUUCUUUUGAUUUGCCCCUUUGUCAAUGUUUCCUAUGUAGCCAAGUAUAUCAAUUUUUGUUGGGUGACAAACCAUUUAUGACUCAUUUUUUUGCUUGGUUAUAUGUUAAAUGUGUACACCCUUGGCAUGGCCAUAAAUUUGUUAUUGAUAAUCCUUGUGUUAAACCUCAUGCUACGAUGAUAUGUUUGUUGUUUUUCCUUCUCAUUUUUUAAAAAAGUUUGGAUUCGUGGAUGAAUUCUUUUGAUGAAGUGGAUCAUGAUUAGCUUGGAACAUAUUAGGAGGGUCUUCCAUGUAUGGAUGAUAUCUUGGAGUUUGAAGGAAGGCAUGAAGAAAUAGAUACAUAAGGUCAUUGGCAAUCAAGAUGCCAUUUGGCCAAUUAAGAAGGUCCCUUGUGAGUUAUUUGUAAAAUGGUCACAUUAGGGAGAUUUUUGUAAUAGACUUUUUCUGUAAAGGCACUGACUAUAAAUAGUUUCUUUAUCCAUUUUCAUCACUUAGAUUUGGAAAAGUGAAUUGUCUUGAAUAGAAUUGAUAUUUAGUUAUUCGAUAUUAGGGCAGUAAUUGGGUUCAAUUUCAAUUGUUAGCUUAGAUUGAGUGAUUAGGGUGUCUUUCUAAAUUGUUUGUGUUAUCUUCUUCACUUGAUUUAUCAUUAAGUUAUCAUAUUAUGGAUUCAAUCUGGUUUCUCGUCCAUUUGAUUAAGUUCUCUAUUUUUCUUAGCUUAAUUAUUAUUUGAUUAAGUCUUUCUUUCAGCACUUCUAUAAUACCCCAUAUUAUUAUUAGGUCAGUUCAUCUUCUAGUUGUAUGCAUAAGGGGCUUAAGGCCUAAAAAUUUCACUAAGUGUUGGGGAAUUAGUCAUUUAUAAGUCCUCUUAACUUCGAGGAUUUUUCGAUUGGUCUUCCCGAUCCUAAGGUGUUGGUUUUUGAGUUAAUUCAUAUUCAGGGAUGUAAGGAGCAUGUCUUAGAGAAGUUUCAAAUUUUUUGAAUGAGGUUUCGGUCAUGUUUGGAUCACAAAUCCAGAAAGUCACUGCGAUACGGCUGCGUCGCUUUAAUAUUUCCAUUUGCAUGCUCACUGCGUUGCGGUAAGGGAAAUGGAUGACUUCAAUUAGACCGCGUUGCGGUAAGUAUGUUAUGCCCAGUUAUGAAUUUAAUUGCCUGAGGGGAAAUUGUGUCUGUUCCCCUCAACCCAAAUCAUGCAUAACACGAAUUGAGACAUCAUUUAGAGCAUUAUUUGCCCUUCUUCUCUAAAUCCAUCUCAAGAAAACCCUUCCCACUUUCUCAAAAUCACCAAUUUCAAUUUUUUUCUCCCUAAAAAACCAAGGAACUCAAGCUUCAAAUUCAAGAAACCCUCAAGAAAUCUUCAAGAAAUCAUCUAUUAAGGUAUGUGGAUGUUCAUUCAUGGGUUUCUUUCUUCGAACACAGGAUUUUCUUAAGAUGGAUCCUCCCACUUUUACUGGAUCAGAUCUUAACGAGGACCCACAGGACUUUAUCGAUCAAAUUCAAAGGGCCUUGGAUGUUAUGCAUGUAACGGGUAGAGAGACAGUGGAGUUAGCGGCGUAUAGAUUUAAAGGGGAGGCUAUAUAUUGGUAUGAGGACUGGAAACGAUCUAGGGGUAUUGAUGCACCCCCAGCUACUUGGAAGGAGUUCAAAGAGGCAUUUCUUGAUCAUUAUCUUCCAUUCGAGAUUCGUCAGGCCCGUGCAGAUCAGUUUUUAAAUCUUCGUCAGGGGAAUAUGAGCGUGAGGGAGUACAGUCUUCGAUUUAAUUCCUUGUCGAGAUAUGCUCCUAAUGUUGUAGCUACUAUGGUUGACAGAGUUCAUCAAUAUGUGGAUAGGCUAGAUCCAUAUCUGGUUAGAGAUUGUACUAUUGCUGCUUUGAACAAAGAUAUGGACAUAGCGAGAAUCCAAGCUUUUGCACAAAAAAUGGAAGAUCAGAGGCAGAGGAGAAGAACACAGGAAUCAGAAAGAGGAUAUUCCAAGAGGGCCAGAUCUACAGGGCAGUUCAUGGCAUUCGAAAGAGGGUUCAGACCACAGUUUUCUGCUAGACCACCUAGGCCAUUAUCCUCUUAUUCUACAGCUAGUGCCCCACCACAGUUCCAAGGGUUCAGAGGAAAUCAAUUUGGGCACAGAAGUGAGAGUCAGAGUUCGCGGACAGUGGGGUACCAAGGUCAAGGGAAUAUGAGCCAAUCAAGACCUCCUCGAGAGCCAUGCAAUAAAUGUGGAAGGUAUCAUUUGGGCGCAUGUCGGCUGGGGACCAAUGUUUGCUUUUGGUGCGGUAUGUCGGGGCAUAUGAUGAGGGAAUGCCCACGAAGGGACAUAGGGGGUAUGGCACGACCUACGGGGUCAUUUGUUGCAUCAUCAUCAUCGAUGCCUUAUUCAGGAAGGGGUGCACAGCCAAUGGGUCGUGUUAGAGGUGAUAGAGGAGCCACGAGUUCUAGCGGGGCUCAAAAUCGUACGUAUGCUCUAGCAGAUCGACAGAAUUUAGAGGCUUCUCCAGAUGUGGUUACGGGUAUGUUGGCUAUAUUUUCAUUCAAUUUAUAUGCCUUAAUUGAUCCCGGUUCUACAUUAUCUUAUGUUACUCCAUUGGUUGCUGGAAAGUUCGAAAGAAUACCCGAACUGUUAGUUAAGCCAUUUGAAGUGUCCACACCGGUCGGGGAAUCUAUUAUAGCUAGAAGGGUUUAUCGAAACUGCAUAGUAACUGUUUGUGGUCGUGAUACGAUGGCUGAUCUUGUGGAGUUAGAAAUGGUAGAUUUUGAUGUUAUAAUGGGUAUGGACUGGUUGGCGUCUUGUUAUGCCACAAUUGAUUGCUGCACGAAAAAGGUAUAUUUCCAUUUUCCAAAUGAAUCAGUCCUUGAAUGGAAAGGUGAAAUUAGCGUGCCAAGAGGUAGAUUUAUUUCUUAUUUUAAGGCGAGAAGAAUGAUUUCCAAGGGAUAUAUAUAUCAUUUAGUUAGAGUAAGGGAUACAGAAGCGGAGCCACCAACUCUUCACGCUGUUCCGGUGGUAAAUGAAUUUUCUGAUGUAUUUCCUGAAGAUCUUCCAGGUUUGCCUCCUGAACGAGAAGUAGAGUUUGGUAUUGAUGUAAUACCAGGCACCCAACCAAUCUCCAUUCCUCCGUAUAGAAUGGCCCCAGCAGAAUUACGAGAAUUGAAAGAGCAAUUGAAAGAUUUGCUAGAAAAGGGGUUCAUUAGGCCUAGUAUUUCCCCUUGGGGAGCACCAGUGUUAUUUGUACGCAAAAAGGAUGGCUCGCUGAGGAUGUGUAUUGAUUAUCGGCAAUUGAAUAAGGUGACUAUUAAGAAUAAAUAUCCUCUCCCAAGAAUUGAUGAUUUAUUUGAUCAGUUACAGGGCGCCAAGUGCUUUUCUAAGAUUGAUUUGAGGUCAGGUUACCACCAAGUGAGGGUCAAAGAAAAAGAUAUACCCAAAACAGCUUUCCGAACAAGGUAUGGUCAUUAUGAGUUUCUAGUUAUGUCAUUUGGGCUAACAAAUGCACCCGCAGCUUUUAUGGAUUUGAUGAAUAGGGUUUUUAAGCCAUUCCUGGAUGUAUUUGUGAUAGUUUUUAUAGAUGAUAUUCUAGUUUAUUCUAGAUCAGAAGAGGACCAUGCCAAUCACUUACGACAGGCAUUGCAGACUCUUCGUGAUUGUAAGCUUUAUGCAAAGUUCUCUAAAUGUGAGUUUUGGUUAAAGUCGGUGGCAUUUUUGGGUCAUAUUGUAUCUAGUGAAGGGAUAAAGGUUGAUGCUCAAAAGAUAGAGGCUGUGAAGAACUGGCCAAGGCCCACAACGCCUACGGAGAUUCGUAGUUUUCUUGGGUUGGCCGGUUAUUAUAGAAGGUUUGUCAAAGACUUUUCUUCCAUUUCAGCACCCUUAACCAAGCUAACCCAUAAAGCAUCCAAAUUCCAAUGGAAUGAUGCCUGUGAGAAGAGUUUUCAAGAUUUAAAGAACAAGUUGAUUUCUACACCCGUGUUGGUACUACCAGAAGGCACCGAAGGGUAUACAGUGUAUUGUGAUGCUUCCAGAAUUGGUUUAGGAUGUGUAUUGAUGCAGCAUGGUAAGGUAAUAGCAUAUGCUUCUAGACAAUUACGGCCACAUGAGAAAAAUUAUCCUACACACGAUCUUGAGCUGGCAGCGGUUAUUUUUGCUUUAAAGAUAUGGCGCCACUACUUAUAUGGGGUUCACGUUGAUAUAUAUACUGACCAUAAGAGCUUGCAAUAUAUUUUUAAUCAGAAGGAUCUAAAUUUAAGGCAGCGGAGAUGGCUUGAACUAUUAAAGGACUAUGAUGUUGAUAUCUUGUACCAUCCAGGGAAAGCAAAUGUGGUAGCUGAUGCGUUAAGUCGUAAGGCUAUGAUGGCGCCUAUAGAAAGGCAAGGGAUGGUUAAAGAUCUUCACCAGUUAGCUAGUUUGGGAGUUCGCCUUCUUGAAACUCCGAAUAAAGAGCUUAUCGUACAUAAUGCUGCGGAAUCUUCAUUAGUAGCUGAAGUGAAAGAGAAGCAAUAUGCAGAUCCUAUUUUAUUACAUCUUAAGGAGAACGUUCAGAGUGGUGCGACCAAGGCAUUUGAGCUUACGCGAGAAGGAGUACUUCAGUGCCAAAACCGAUUGUGUGUGCCGGAUAUAGACGGGCUAAGAAAGAAGAUUAUGACAGAGGCACAUUUUUCAAGGUAUUCCAUUCAUCCAGGAUCAACCAAAAUGUAUCAAGAUUUGAAAGAUAUGUAUUGGUGGAAUGACAUGAAGAAGAGCAUUGCAGAAUUUGUAGCUGAAUGUCCAAAUUGUCAAAGAGUUAAAGUUGAGCACCAAAAACCCGGAGGCUAUAUGCAAUGCAUAGAUCUUCCAAUUUGGAAGUGGGACAUGAUCAACAUGGAUUUUGUUACAGGUUUGCCUCGUACAGCUCGAAAAUUUGAUUCUAUAUGGGUGAUUGUGGAUAGGCUUACUAAAUCCGCACAUUUCUUACCCGUUAAGACCACUUACACAGUUGAAGAAUAUUCGAAGCUGUAUGUUAAAGAAAUAGUCCGAUUACAUGGAGUGCCAACUUCUAUUAUAUCGGAUCGGGGAACUCAAUUUACUGCAAACUUUUGGAAGUCUUUCCAACGGGGUUUGGGAACACAAGUGAAUCUGAGUACAGCUUUUCACCCUCAGACGGAUGGACAAGCAGAGCGCACCAUUCAAACACUUGAAGAUAUGCUACGAGCAUGUGUUAUAGAUUUUAAAGGCAGCUGGGAUGAUCAUUUACCUCUUAUUGAGUUUGCCUACAAUAAUAGCUAUCAUUCAAGUAUCAAAAUGGCACCAUAUGAAGCUUUAUAUGGGAGAAAGUGUAGAUCACCAAUAGGAUGGUUCGAAGCGGGUGAAACUCUUAUGUUCGGACCGGAUCUUGUGUAUCAAGCCAUAGAAAAAGUCAAGGUGAUACAACAACGGCUAAAAACAGCCCAAAGUCGUCAUAAAUCAUAUGCAGAUAUUCGGAGAAGAGGGCUGGAAUUCUCUAUUGGAGAUUGGGUAUUUUUAAAGGUAUCACCAAUGAAAGGGGUUAUGAGAUUUGGUAAAAAAGGGAAACUAAGCCCACGUUACAUAGGGCCAUAUAAGAUUACCAAGAGGGUCGGACAAGUUGCAUAUGAAUUAGAGCUACCCCAGGAACUUUCAAUGGUUCAUCCAGUGUUUCAUGUGUCAAUGCUUCGAAAAUGCAUAGGUGACCCCUCUCGUAUCACUCCUAUAGAAGAUGUACAGGUCACAGAGGAUCUUACUUAUGAAGAGGUACCGGUUGCUAUUCUAGAUCGCCAAGUUAAAAAGUUAAGGAACAAAGAAAUGGCAUCAGUAAAGGUACUUUGGAGAAAUCAACAAAGGGAAGAGAUUACAUGGGAAGCUGAGGAAGCAAUGAAAUCUAAGUACCCUCAUUUGUUCAAAGAUGAAGAGGAAGUUCAAGAAACGGAGUUAGAACAUUAACAAGUAAGUUUUUGUUUAUAUAUGCAUAGUAUUUAUGUGAUGAUGUGAAUGUUAAUGGUGGACUUGAACUUGUUUCGGCUAAAUAACUACAUUCACAUUCGAGGACGAAUGUCCUUAAGGGGGGAAGGAUGUAACACCCCGUACUUAAUUACGUGCAUUAGUCAUUGUUAUAUGUGUUGGGGUAUAUGUAUUGAUCCUAAGUUAGGUAUAUAUGAGUUUAAGUAUGAGUAUUGAUUAUUUUGAGAUGGUUUCAAGUGUAUAGUUUGAUUAUAGGUGUAUAGGAAUCGACUUUAUUUAUAUCGGAAUUUUCCCGUCGAUGGUUCCAUACGAAGGUUAUUGAAUAAGCUUUCCAACGAUAUAAAGAUUUCCAAAAACGGAUAAGUUUCGGAUAUAAGCGAGCUCGUUCGAAACUUUAAAACGGUGGCCGGGAUGUGAACAGUAAAAUGUGCAGGAAACUACUGAGGCCUGCCAGUUUUUUGGGUCAACUUUGAACGAUCAUAACUCCCUCAAUAUAAUGAACUGGUUGAGCUACCAUAUAUCAAAAGAAAGAUCUUUGAGUCUUCUUUCCAAUGAAAUUGGUUUCAUCCAAAUCCAACAUCUGAGUAAGGAGUUAUACUCGUUUUACUUCAGCCUCUCAAAACAGAUUUUUAGGGUCAACUUCAAACGAUCAUAACUACUUGUACAGGACGAACUGGGUGGAUUAAUUUAUAUUAAAUGAAAGACCUUUGAAUUAUCUUUCUAACGAUACCAAUUUCACCCAAAUCCGAUAUCGGAGCAAAGAGUUAUGGCCGAUUUACUUUAGCCUAUCAAAACAGUCCACCAUGGACAGAUUCGGAUUUACUUAAAUUUUUAAGGGCAAUAUGGUCAUUUUCCAUCACCUCUUGAACGAAAAUUGGUCAUUAUAUACAUAUACUUAGCCUCAUAUCCAUUAUUUAUCAUCCAUUAUUGAAAACUAAGAAACCCUAGCCAAAUUUCAACUCCAAUUAUCUUGUGAUUCAACCGUAGAAAAUCCAAAUUGAUUCCGUAGUUGUGUUCACCGUCUCAAGGGCUUCGAGAAGCACCCCUUAUUUGUGCCAACAGGACUUCGAAAUCAAAAGGGCCAUUUUUUUGGUAAGGAUGUAAAUUAUGUUGGUGUUAUUUAUAUGGAUAUGUAUAUAUAUAUAUGCAUGUGAGCAUAAGAAGUAUGUUAUUUGAUUGUUGUUGAAAGAUGAUUGGAAAUGAUGUUGGAUUAUUCUUGUGCAUGGUUGGAUUAUGUUAAAUUGUGAAGGAAUUUGGGGUGAUGAUGUGGUAUUGAUGAUGUGGUAUUGAAAUGAUGAUUAUAUAUAUAUACACACAUAAACCUAUUGUUCAAGUUGGUUUUUGGAAUGUUUUGCAAAUAUUGGUAGUAUGGAAUUAUGGAAGAGAAUUGUGGUGUUGGGUUGCUAAUACUAGAUGCCAAACAUUUCAUUGUAGAUAAGUGAUUUGUAAAGGCGGGAAGUUGUGUUGAAUUGGUAUCCGAAUCUACAACGAGGUAUGUAAAGCAUACUCUAACAAUGUUCUUUGGCAUGAAAACACCAAUGUUCCAUCAAGUAAGAUUCCGAGGUUGUCCAAAAACAUGUAUUGUUCUACGUUACCAACGAAGUUGUUUCCAUUCUAUAAAGUGUCAAAAUGUUUCAUUGAUAUACCAAAAGGCUCUUAUUUCAUUGUUGUGAUAUUGAUGAUUCUGAAACACAUUGUUGAUGUACCAAUGAGUCUUUAUUACAUCGUUAUUGUAUAGAAGGUCUAUUACUUGGUUCCUAUUGAUGUAUCAUUGUUUCAAAGUAUCAAAAAUGUGGUGGCGACCGAAAUAACAAUCUCAAAGAUUAAUUGAACUAAGUGAUGGAAGUUCUCUCUUAUCGGGUGGUAUCCCAGGGGCAUAAGCCUAGCAUGGGUCGAUCCCUAUUUAUGUGUUUAUGGGUGGUAUCCCAGGGGCAUAAGCCUAGCAUGGGUCGAUCCCAGUUGAUAUGUACUGGAGGCAUCCUAAUGGUCACAGUACAGUACAGUAAUGAUUACAAAGACGAUAAGAACGAAGGUAAAGUGAUUGAAUAAAUACAAUGUACAGGUUGUCACAAGUUCUAGUAAGUGUGGUCCACUCCUAUUACGACUUAUUCACUUGUUUCUGAUUUCUAUUGAGCUCCUAUAUCAUAUGUGAUUAUUUACAGCUUUACAUACUCAGUACAUAUUUCGUACUGACGUCCCUCACGGGGGACCUGCAUUUCAUGCUGCAGGCACAGGUACCUCAGCUCAUACACCGCACAAGUAGGAGCCAGGUCAUACAGCUAUUGUUGGUGAGCUCCAGUUUGCUUCGGAGCUUUCCGAGUCGGUUCCUUAUGUUUUGUUAUUGUACAUGAGUCAUGUGUGGGCGGGGGUUUGUCCCGACCCUAGUUAUGUCAUGUAUAUCCUAGAGGCUUUGUAGACAUAAGGAAGGGUAAAGUCAUGGAAGUUUAUGUAGUGAUGUUAUAUCUGUAUAUGUGGUGGCCCCGACGGCCAAGUAUUAUAUAUAUAUAUAUAUUUGCGCGUGUUGUGCUGAUACAGGUAAUUAGACCUUUCUAUAUGCAACGACGUGCUGUCCAAUUUUUGGUGACAUGUAAGUGAAAGUACAGGUAUUUGAACGGGUUCUCCCGGGCCUUCUCGGCUUCGGGUGCCAGUCCGGCCCGAUGGGACUUUGGGGCGUGACAUUUUAGGUGUUCCUGUACAUCAUCCGACCUUGGAUACAAUAUGACUUAUAGAUAAUCCCUCAAAUUGGUAGUUUUGGGGUAAUCCUGCGCAUAAUCGAUCUUGGAUAUGACGCGGCUUAUAGAGAACCCUUGGAUGUAUCAAUUUGAUAAUCUUGCAUAUUCUCCGGUAAAGAUUUAGUUGCGACUUAUGGAUAACCUUUGAACUAUUGACUUUUGGGCGAUCUUGCACACUAUCCGGUUAGGAUGUUGUUAUGGUUUACGGAUGACCUACAGGAUAUCAACUCAUAGGUUAUCUUGCACACUAUCCUAUUUCAAAUAAUAUAACUUAUAGAUGACCCUCAAAAUUGUUAAUUUCCAGGAAACCUUAUAUAUCAGUCAUCCUUAGAUAAUGACUUAAAGGUGUCCCUUCAAAUCGUGUUCUCCCGAUGCAUUCAGAUGUUGAUUCAUGAAAAGAUGAUGAUAUCCUUGAUACUAGCAUUGUGUCUAGCAUGUCAACAGAUAUAUUGAAUGCUGAUGAUAUCCUCAACACCAGCAUUGUGUCUAGCGUGUCAACAGAUAUUGAAUGAUGAUGAUAUCCUUAAUGCCAGCGUUGUGUCUAGUACGUCAACGGAUAUAUUGAAUAUUGAUGAUAUCCUCGAUGCUAGCAUUGUGUCUAGCGCGUCAAUAGAUAUAUGAAUAGCCUUCUUGGGCGAUGGUAUGAGAUGGCCCUCUCUACAAUGAUGUGCAAUGGCCCUUGCGGCAAUGAUAUGUGAUGGCCUUUGUGGCAAUGAUAUGCAAUAGCCCUUGCGGCAAUGAUAUGCAAUGUCCCUUAUGGCAAUGAUAUGUAAUGGCCCUUGCGGCAAUGAUAUGCAAUGGUCCUUGCGGCAAUGAUAUGCAAUGACCCUUGCGGCAAUGAUAUGCAAUGGUCUUUGCGGCAAUGAUAUGCAAUGGCCCUCUUGGCAAAUUUUAAAAUAAUUUUACCUGACUUUAUUUGUCAGCGUCUUGCUUUCUACAUGUACCUAUACUCAAGGUAGACGAUUAGUAGACACAAAGUCACUUUUGCUAGCAAUUAUUUUUAGGAAAUUUCUAAAUAUAAUAUUUGUAAAGAAGAUUAGACGCCUUUGUUUGUGUUCCAUGAUCUCAAGAAAUGAGGUGGACAAAUCAAAAGGUCCUCAGUAAAUGGGUAUUAAACCCAUUUUUAGGGCUACCCUAAAAUACCAUUCUUGAGCAUUGCUACUCUGGUGUGGCUUCCAAUUAGCUAGUUAGUUUUUGAAAGAGACUCUUAUUUUUGUGUAUUGAUCCCUGCAUCCACAGAAAAAUGAUUAGUUUGAAUGAAAUUACUCCAUGUUGACCUCCUUCGAUCCUUGAUUUGCUCCUCGCCAUCUUUCAGUUGCUUCGUCAUGCUGGAACCUCCACCCCUGACUCUCCGUCCCAAUUAAUGUCUAGGCAAAUACUAAUUAAAAGAUUUAUGAAGAUUUUUGAAGUAGUCGUAAAUUUUAGAAAAUAGUUUCGAAAGCUUCUAUAAAACUUUAGAAAAUCUCUGCCAGUCAUGUCAUGUGCUAGUCCAACGACCAUCUUUCUCUUGAUUCUGACAAUGUCCGACGUUUGAUGGAGGAUUGCUAGGGCGUCAGCAUUGACGAGGCUCUCUACCAGAAGUUUUAUCAAAGACGGAGAUUCAAUCUUCCUAGACUUUAUCACAGGUGGUGAUUCUCCAAUCUCAACUUCGACCUCUAGUGCUGGGGAAUUUGAAAUAUAUUUCAAUAUAUUAGUGAAAAUUUUGAGGACCUCCUCAAAAUUUCUGCCCUAGUUUAAAGUAGUUUGAGAUGAUUUCAUCUCGAGUGGAUCUGAAGUCUUUGUUGGUCUACAUUCUCUUCGUUGAUAUUCUCUUGUGAAUGUUCGAGAUUUCUUCUCAAAAAUUCUACCCCAGUUUCCAUUUCCUGGGGUUAUAUGACCGAGCUGUUUGGGUGCCUACGUAUCCCGUUGAAGCAGGAAUCAGGUCAAACGUAGUUCAGGACUACGCUAGGGAUAUAUAUAGAAAAAUCUAAUGGGUUGAACGAAGCCGACAUAGGCCGCCUACGUAUCCCUUUUGUUGGGAAUUCAGGUCAUUACGUAGUUCAUACAUAAAGAGAAAUGAUAAAUUAUCCUAAGGGGUUGACCAAAGCCUACAUAGGCCGCCUACGUAUCUCUUUCUUAGGAAUUCAGGUCAAAUGUAGUUCGUACAUAAAGAGAAACGAUAAAUUAUCCUAAGGGGUUGACCGAAGCCGAUAUAGGCCGCCUACGUAUUCCUUUCUAGGGAAUUCAGGUCAAACGUAGUUCGUACAUAAAUAGAAAUGAUAAAUUAUCCUAAGGGGUUGACCGAAGCAGACAUAGGCCGCCUAUGUAUCCCUUUCUUGGGAAUUCAGGUCAAACGUAGUUCGUACAUAGAGGGAAAGGAUUCUAGGCAGUUACAUAUUAGAAAACAACAUUACUACGAAUGCGAUUACAAGUAAAUUAACUAAAGAAAUACGAAAACUAGAACGUCCUUCAAAUAUAAUAUCUCUUUACCACAUCAGAAUUAAUUGGUUUGGUCCACUCUAUGCCAUCCAUCUCAAACAAAAUCAGAGCUCCUCCAGAUAGUACCUUGCGAACUAUGUAUGGCCCUUGCCAGUUUGGAGCGAACUUGCCCUUGUACUCCUCUUGGUGUGGGAAUAUUCAAUUGAGAACCAGUUACCCCACUUCAAAUGUUCGAAGUCUCACUUUCUUGUUAAAGGCACGAAUCAUCCUGUGUUGAUACAGCUGACCAUGGCAUACAACGACCAUUCUCUUUUCAUCAAUCAACAUGAGUUGUUCAUAGCGAGCACGAACUCAUUCUUCGUUACUUAGUUUGGCUUCUUGGAUAAUCCUUAGGGAAGGUAUUUUAACUUCAGCAGGUAUCACCGCUUCAUUUCCAUAAACCAAUAGAUAUGGGGUUGCACCGAUGGAGGUUCGAACCGUCGUGCGAUACCCUAGCAAGGUGUAAGGUAACAUCUCAUGCCAUGAUCUAUUAUUUUCGACCAUCUUUCUCAGGAUCUUCUUAAUAUUCUUGUUGGCAGCUUCCACGACUUCAUUUAUUUGAGGACGGUAUGCAGUUGAGUUGCGAUGCAUGAUUUUGAACUGAUCACAAAUUUCAUUCAUCAAGUGACUGUUUAAGUUGGCCUCAUUAUCCUUAAUGAUUGAUUCUGGCACUCUGAAUUGGAAAAUCAGGUUAUUCUUGAUGAAAUCUGCAACCACUUUCUUAGUGACAACUCUGUUGAAGUAGCUUCAACCUAUUUAGUAAAGUAAUCGAUGGCAACCAAAAUAAAUCUAUGCCCACUCGAUGCUGAUGGUUCUAUCGGUCCGAUAACAUCCAUACCCCAAGCUAUGAAAGGCCAAGGGGAACUUAUCGCAUAAAUCUCAUGUGGAGGCAUGCGAAUCAGAUCUCCAUGUAUCUGACAUUUUGGACAUUUCUGUACAAACUUACUACAAUCGUUUUCCAUAGUCAUCCAGAAGUAACCGGUUCUCAGGAUCUUUCUGGCAAGGGCAAACCCAUUCAUAUGGGGCCCACAAACUCCAGCGUGUACCUCUUUUAUCAAUUUAUUGGCUUCCGCAGCAUCGAGCAUCUUACGAAUCCCAAAUUAGGAGUCCUCCUAAAAGAAAUUCCCCACUUGGACAGUAGUUCUUUGCUAAACGCCGGAUUGUCUUCUUUUGGUUGUUAUUGGCCUCUUCAGGAUAUACUCCAGAUUCCAAAUACCUCUUAAUGUCAUAGUUCCAAGGCUUUCCAUCAGGCUCCUCUUCCAUGUGCGCACAAUGCGCAGGUUGCUCCUUCAAGCUUAUUUCCAAAGGAUCAAUGUAACUCUGAUCUGGGUGCUGAAUCAUGGAAGAUAUGGUGGCCAAAGUGCCAACAAACUCAUUUUGUAUCCGUGGGAUAUGUCUGAAAUCAACUUCUUUGAAUCUUUCGCAUAAUUCUUGCACUAGCUCCACAUAAGGAGUAAUCUUAAGUUUUUUUACUGCCCAUUCUCUCCGUACCUGAUGAAUCAGCAAAUCUGAAUCUCCGAUGACUAACAAUUCAUGAACACCCAUAUCAAGUGCCAAUUUGAGACCCAGGAUGCAAGCCUUAUAUUCAGCCAUGUUAUUGGUGCAUGGGAAACGCAACUUAGCAGUUACCGGAUAAUGUUGGGCCGUCUUUGACACCAAAACUGCUCCAAUUCCUGAACCUUUAAAGUUGACCGCCCCAUCAAAGAAUAGCCUCCAUCCGGGGUAAAUCUCUGUAAUAUCUUUCUUUCCCUAUGAAUAAAAUUUCCUCAUCUGGGAAGUAAGUUUGAAGUGGCUCGUAUUUCUCAUCAACCGAAUUUUCUACCAAAUAAUCCGUUAAGGCUUGCCCCUUGAUUGCCUUUUGGGUUACGUACACAAUGUCAAACUCACUCAGUAAUAUUUGCCACUUGGCUAGCUUUCCUGUAGGCAUGGUCUUCUGAAAUAUAUACUUCAACGGAUCCAUUCUUGAGAUGAGGUAUGUUGUGUAGGACGAUAGAUAAUGUCUCAAAUUUUAUGCUGCCCAAGUCAAAGCACAACAUGUCUUUUCUACAAGAGUGUAAUGGGCUUCAUAUGGUGUGAAUUUUUUACUCAAGUAGUAAAUGGAUUUUUCUUUCCUACCGGUCUCAUCAUGUUGUCCGAGGACACAUCUGAAAGCAUUUUAUGAGACUGACAGAUAAAGAAACAAUGGUAUUCCUUCUCUUGGAGGCACUAAAACCGGUGGUGCAGAUAGGUAUUCCUUGAUGUGGUUAAAAUUUCUCUGGCAUUCUUCUGUCCACUCAUUAAAUGCAUUUUUCUUCAACAUCUUGAGAAUUGGCUCGCAUAUGACUGUCGAUUGAGCGAUGAAUCUGCUAAUGUAAUUCAAAUGACCCAUGAAACUCGUGACUUCCUUCUUGGUCCUCGGCGGUGGCAAGUCCUGAAUUGUCUUGAUUUUGGAUGGGUCUAGCUCGAUGCCUCUUCUGCUGACUAUGAACCCCAGCAACUUCCCUGAUGACACACCAAAAGCACACUUAGCAGGAUUUAACUUCAAACUAUACUUUCUUAAUCUAUUGAAGAAUUUCUCCAGAUGAGUCAGAUGAUCUGAACUCUCGUGGGAUUUGAUAAUUACAUCAUCCACGUACACCUCAAUCUCUUUAUGAAUCAUAUCAUGGAAAAUAAUCGUCAUAGCCCUCAUAUAUGUUGCGCCCGCAUUCUUGAGACCAAACGGCAUUACCCUGUAAUGAUAAACACCCCAGGGCGUAAUAAAUGCCAUUUUUCCUACAUCUUCCUCAUCCAUCAAUAUUUGAUGAUACCCGAUGAAACAAUCAACGAAUGACUGCAUUUCAUGCUUCAGACAGUUAUCGAUGAGGAUGUGGAUAUUGGGUAAUGGAAAAUUAUCUUUAGGAAUGGCUCUGUUUAAGUCUCUAUAGUCAACACAAAUUCAAAUCUUGCCGUCCUUCUUCGGCACAGGGACGAUGUUGGCCAACCACGUCGGAUAUUUUGUGACCUCCACAACCUUAGACUGGAUUUAUUGUCACUUCUUCCUUGAUAUUUAGACUUAAAUCUGGCUUGAAUUUCUGCAUUUUUUGCUUGAUUGGAUCAAACUCCGAAUUUAUCGACAACUUAUGCGACACAAUACUAGUGCUCAAUCCCGGCAUGUCAUCAUAGGACCAAUCAAACACGACAAUAUAUUCCCGCAAAAGGUGAAUGAGCUCUCUCUUUUGUGCUUACGCUAGGUGGAAACUAACGCUUGUUUCUUUGAUUUCAUCAUGAUCUCUGAGGUUGACUGUUUCAGUUUCCUCCAGGUUGGGUUUUUCCCGAUUCUCGAACUCCUCCAUAUCUUCAACUAAUUGUUUCUCAUCAUCGUCCUUCCAAUCAUCAUCGUUCCCUUUAUUUUGUUUGUUUAAACUUUGACAUGACAUGACAUUGGCAAAUUUUAAGUUGCUGUUAGAUAACAAGAUAAUAAAAAAAUAUAUGACUAGGAGUGUUUUUAGAAAUAAUAGAAUUUUCUAAAUAAAUGAAGGUCUUUUCAUUGAAAUUUGAGAGAUAAUUACUAAACCAUGGCUCAUGACUUGUACAAAUACAAGUCCAUGCCUUUUUGAAACCAGUAAAAUACAAAAAGAAAGUUUUGAGAUAUAAAAGGUGGAUCACGGGGCCUCCUCCAGAUCAUCACCAAUUUUAAAAAUGAUUAGUAAUUUCCCUUUCAUCUACCACGACGGGCGACGGGUUAUGAGUGGAGUGGAGGUCCAGUUUUGUAAGGCCUCCCCUGGCGCAAUCUGCUUCACCCCGCUGGACUUUGGGAGAUCUUCUGGUACAGCAUUGCAUGCCUCGAACAAAUCUUCUAUCCCAUCCCUAAGACCAUCACAUCUGACACCUCUCGUACAGGAAAUGACUGGAACAGAAGUGGCAAGGGCCUAAACAGACUCUUCUCUGACUCAUCCUCAACCUUAUCCUUCUUGGUAGGCUGAUAUCCAAACCCAUACUUAGAGCCAUUCUCUGGGAUCGAAAUAGGCUUGAUAAUUCCUUGUAGAUCCUUACCUAAACCUCGACCAGGUUCGAACCUAUUUCUUAACAUCACCGUCGCAAUCAUUUUGGUAGACAGAAAGCAUUGGCACUUUGGAUGUUGAAUCCCUGUCCACACAUUUACAAUUUCCACUGUAUAGAAACUGCUACAUUUUGAAACAUCUUUAAUCACCGGCACAUAACCAUUGAGAUGAUCCACUCGACUUCCUUCUCCUUGGAUGACUACUUCAUGAUCCUCCCAAAUGAACUUCAAUAAUUGAUGAAGGGGUGACGAAACUGCCUUUGCACCAUGUAUCCAUGGUCUUCCCAAGAGCAAGUUAUAGCUAGGAUGGAUAUCCAUAACAUGAAACUUAGUUUUGAACUCAGCAGGGCCCAUUUGGAUGUACAAAUCAAUUUCUCUUAUGGCAUCUCUCUGCCCUCCAUCGAAUGCUCUCGCAUUUACGUGGCUUUGACGAAUUUUCCCCAGAUCAUAGCCCAUUUGAACCAACAUAGAGAGGGGGCAAAUAUUCACACCAGAUCCGUCGUCUAUUAAUACCUGAUUAAUUGCAUAAUCUCGGUAAAUGACAGUGAUUACAGGACUUUGUUGUUCAUCACUCCUUCAAACGACAACUCUUUAUCACUGAAUGAUAUGCAAUGAUUCCCCAUAAUGUUUCCUAUCAUCGCAGCCAGGUUCUCAACACUAAUUCCUGUGGGAACAUUUGUUUCAUCCAAAACCUUUGAUAAAGCUUGUCGGUGGUAUUGCAAACUCAUUAAUAGUGCCAAAAUAGAGAUUUGGGCUGGUAUCUUCUCUAAAUGUUUCAUAAUUGAGUAAUCUUUUGGUUUCAUAUGCCUCCAAAAUUCCUCAACCUCUCAUUCAGUGAUUGGUCUUUUCUAUGAAUCCUUUUUGUUCUUCAAUUCCUCAGGAAUAUAACAUCGUCCCAACCGCGUCAUCCGUUGGGCAGCAGCGGUCUGUACAAUGAAUUUCUUCUUUGAUGGGGGGAGAGGGGUGCACCUGACUUAGAGCCAUCAUCACUAUAAACGGGGCUUUCUCGUUGACACUUAAGGUAGCCACAACCCUCUUUAUCUUUCCUACCUCUUCUGCCCUUUUGGGUUUUUAAAGUUCACCUUAGUAAUGAUCUUGCCAGAUGCCCAUUCACCCUCGAUUUCAAUCAUAUUAACUGUAAGUCCCCUAUGAUUGGGCAAUGGAUUAUUGUUAACAUUUGGUGUAGGUGCCUGAAAAGUGAUGACCUUUUGAUUGAUUAAAUCCUGGAUCCUAUAUUUCAGGUAGAUACAAUCCUCAGUACUGUGCCCCACUGCUCCUGAAUGAUAGACACAAUGUUGACUUGCAUUAAAAAAUUGAGAGUUGGGAUUGAUAGGCCUUGGCUGUAUUGGUUGCAAAUGACCAGCAUUCUUCAAUCUUUCAAACAAUUGGGUACGACUUUCAGCUAAUGGGGUAAAUUUUUGGGGAGGUUUCUUUUCAUGGUUUGGACGUGGGGGGUUAUAAUGGCUUUGAUUUGUAGGAGGAGGUACUUGGUGAUAAUUUAGAGGCGCUUGGGAAUUUAUUCGGUUAUUUGGAGGAGUGGAUUGGAAAUGAGACUGAUAAUUUGGAUGUGGAACUGGGUAUUGGGGAAAGAUAUUUGGCUGUGGAGCUUGGUAUAAGGAUUGGAGGUUUGGGAGUGGAGCUUGGUAUUAGGGGGAGAUAUUUGGCUGUGGAGCUUGGUAUUAGGGGUGGGCAUAGAAUACAUGUUAAAGGCUUGGUGAUAGUGGAGAAGAGAAAACAUUCCUAGAGUUGAACCUUUUUUUCAUUUUCACAACAGAAUUAGCAGAAAUUGUACCUACAUCUUCUUUUUUCUUCUUUGCGAACAUGACAGUCCCAGACGACGUUGGGUUUUUGGUAAUUUUCCCUGUCUGAAUGCCUUCUUCCAAUGAUUCUCCUAUUUUUACCAAGUCCGCAAAAGUUGCCCUGACAGCGGACACCAUCUUGGUAUAAUAUUAUCCUUCUUGAGCGCGAGAGAACACAGAUACCAUUUCUUCCUCAGACAUGGGGGGUUGCACUUUGGCAGCUUCUUUCCUCCAACAAAAACAGUCUCGAAAAAUCUUGUCAUUUCGCUGUUUGAUCCGAUCUAGUGAAUAUCGAUCAGGGACUAUUUCAAUGUUGAAUGCGAACCUGUCAAGGAAACCCUUGGCUAAUGCUUUCCAACCAGUCCAUCUUUUCGGCUCCUGAGACAUGAACCAUUCUAAUACUUCGCCGCUUAAACUUCGACUGAAUAGGCGCAUCAACAAUGCCUCAUUUUUUCCUAUCCAUACCAGUUACUCACAAUACCUUCUCAGAUGGGCCAUUGGGUUUCCGAUACGGUCAAACAUUUCAAACUUAGGGACUUUGUACCCAUCUGGUAGGUCUACUCCCGGGUGAAAACAUAAGUCGUCAUACCCCAAACCGUCGUGGUCCCUGGCUCUAUGAGACUCUUUGAUCUUCAUAAUCUCUUCCUUCACAGCUAGAAAAUUUCUUUCAUGAUCGGUCCUCCACUCUCUCUCCUUCUUCUCAUAAUGGUCUAUCUCGAGAUUAGGAAUGGGUUCCUAGAUAUCAGAGGAUAUGAUGGCCUAAGGGGGAUUUGAAAUGGGGGCUUGAUUUUGCGUAUGAAACGAAUUUGGUUGGUAAAUGAGGAGGACGUUUUGUAAAUGGGAAAGAUUCUGUGGACUUUGCAAGUAGUUUGGCAGAAUUUGAGAGGGGUUUUGCGGAUUUAGAAAUGAAUUUGGGGGAUUCAAAGGUAGGUUUAACGUAUUUUGUAGGUUUGAGAGUGAAUCUUGCAGAUUUGGGAAUGCAUUUUGUUGAUUUGAAAACGUGUUUUGAGGAUUUGGGAAUGGAUCCGGAGACGGGUUCUAUGGGGCUAGAGAUGGAUUUUGCGGAUGGUAGGCGUCUGGGUUAUUUUCACGAUUGGUAGUUUGGACAAAUGGGGGAGCGAAGAUGGAUGAUACGUUAUUUGGCUGAUCCCCAAGAGUAGGGGUGCUGAGGGGAGAAAUUUGGAGUGGAGUCCCGUGUUCUCCUGGAGCGGGGGCAUUGACGGUGAUGGCCAAGUUAGCCAAAUCCCAAGUGUAAUUUAUUUCUUCCUGAAGUAUUUCUAACUUUCUCGCAAGUUCCGCAAUCAUCUCAUUUUGUUCCGCUAUCACAUUGUCCCGGAUAGUCAGUGCGCUUUCUUCAUCAUUUUCUGUCAUUUUUGAAUGAUGGUCAGAGGAUGGAAUUUUGUGCGCUUUCGAUCGGGUGAAGUAGGGAUGUUCUGCCAGCUUAUAUCAAUAUGGAGUAAUUUCUAUUAUCUGUAAAGUAAAACAACUCAAAGGCAGAUGUGUUAGUUUUCGUAUGUGAUAAGUAAUGCAAAAUAUUUAACAGAAAAUAGCCACAUAGAGUUGUUUGAGUCAUAGCCAAAUUCAUCCAUAGGACAUAGUGGAUAAACUUGCCUUUGAUCCAAACAAAUGCACAUAAGCACAUAAGACAGUUAUAUCACACAAAAAUAUUAUAAUAACGCGUAUCCUAGCUGGGGUGACCCUUUUUAAGCCAAGGGUUCAGGCCUAACGAUUUUGAAGAAAAUAUGUGCUUCCUCGAAGUCAAUCCAUUAACCCCCAACUUAUAUAGACACAAAAAAGGGCAUAAAUGCCUACAAAAGAAAACGAAAAAGGGAUACAAUCUUUAGGGAAAAAGGGAAAUAACAUGAAAGAAGAUAAGUUCCCGCGCAGAGAAAAUAGAAAAACUAGCUACUGGAGGCUCCUUCGUCUGCAUUUUCUUUCUUUGCCUUGUUUACCUCAUGUGCUAUUUGAUACCUAUUGAUGAUAAGAUAACUCCCGCAUAAUUUUGCCUUGCUGUCGUAAGUCAUUUUCCCUAUACUAUCGAGUUGAGAGGCCAUGCUAUCAUCCAAAUUGAUUAAACACUGCCUAGCAUCAUCAGCCUCUUGCCUAGCUCUUUUCAGCUCUUCCCUCAACAUACAUAUUAUUAAAGCAUCCUCCAUGUGUACCUGCCGGUGCACGAUUUCACUUUUUUGGAACUCAUCUUGUAGCCUAUAGAGCCAAACUUGAUGCUCGGGUUCUACAUCCACAACCCGAGUGGGCACAUUUGGUUCCAGAAUCAAUGCUCCGGCGAGGCUCUUUUUCAACCAUUCCUUGUAAGUGUCGUUGACUUCAGGGUCAUGCUCUAUAAGAAAAGUCACUCCCGUCCACCUUCUUCUUCUCCAUCCAUUUAUCAUGCCAUUUUUUAGCGGAGACACACUUUCGUCGUAUUCGGUGAAAAACUUAAGCAUGGAAUCUAUUUGUGGUGCCUCCUGCUUGAUCUCAAAUUGCCUAAAAACUCUGCCAGGAUUGUAGGGACGGGUCCUUCUGAGACUCGAAAGCACUAGGAAAGGCCACUUUCCCCCUCGAAUGGUGUAUUUCCCUGAACGAAGAGAGUUAAUGGACUAUUGCACAUCGUCAUCUCUUAAUUCCCCGAAAGUCUUAAACCAAAAUUCGUGAGAUGCUUCCUUUUUGAACUUGUGUAGAAACUACCACAUGUCGUGCGAAACCAGUAGAUCCACCCUUGUUUUAUGAUCAGGUUGUACCGUUCUCGAAUCAUUUACCAAAUGUUUUAUCAUUCACCAUUGUAAUAUCAGGUUGCAACCUUAAAAGAAAUGAUUUUCGACUUGACACCUUCCCAAGGCUCGAUAUAUGUCGGCGACAAUCAUGGGAGCUAAAUUGUGGAAUACCUUGUUAGAAUUGUAAUCUACUCCAAAGAAAAGUUCAUGAGCCACCGUAACAACCCUUGGAUGAAUUGUGUCAUUUUCCCCCUGUGGGAACACCAUGGUUCCGAGUAGACCUACCGUAAACACAAAGGCUCUCAUCUCUUUCCAUUUUGCUUCGAACUCAAAUUUAUGUCCAAAUUUGUGGAAGCCAAUGAAUCUUCCAAACCGACGAUACAACUCCCGAAAAGUGAUAUUUGCUCCAUCACGUUCCCCUAGCCAGGUGUCGUCGUUAGUUAAAAAAGCCUAUUUGAUUGUUUGACGGUCCCACACAGCAGGAACUAAAAUGUUCUUAUCAGAUUUUUCCUUUCUCUUGAAACACAUUUCAAUACUCUCAUAGCAAAUUAACACUUCUUCGAUGGUAGGAGUCAAUUCCACAUCCCCGAAGUGAAAUACCAUAUUCUGAUCAUCCCAAAAAGUCGUAAGCACGUGGAUCAUUUCGGUCCAAGCAUCCAUUUCAAUCAAUAAAGGCAGGUAUCCGAUGUGUGUUCUAACAAUUUUUCUCUCUUCUGCGCUCAUAUAGUCCCACCAUAGUUUCAGGUAAUCGUCAGGUUUAGUAACCAUCUUGAACUUCUCGUGGGAAUGCAAUUGAGCCAUACCUACAUGAAAGCAAACAAAGAUAAGCCUUCCCCCGUCCCCUAAAGGGUAAUGGAUUGAAUUAAACAAGCAUAUACUUCUUCAACACAUAAAUAUGAUUCGUCUGUAAUUAACUCGGGGUCAAUAGAAAUAGGGUAGGUUUUCUAAUGGGCUGAAUACCCGCUCGGGUAUUGGGUCGUCCUAGGCUCAUGCCUGAAAUAGGGUUUUGGUUUCGUUCUAUCCUAGGUAUCUAGAGUGGGUUUAAACACUGGUUCUCAAGCGAACAACUUGAGCUUGAAAAUACAAACAACCAUCAGACGAUUCACGUGCUAAUAAACUGUUUGUAUUUCCAACACAUUUUUAGAAUUGAUCAAUAGGGGCUAGGAUACUCACGAAACCCCAAAAUAGUUUAAAUGAUGUAGGAAUAUGCCAUGAGAUGCGAUAAUUAAACUCUACAGAAUCGAAACACAUAAACACAUAAACAGUUAAUCAAAAGAUGAAAUCAAACAUCUGGUUAGAACCUAGUUAGAGAUCCCCAGCAGAGUCGUCAUUUCUGUUUUGCGGAAAUUUUGACUUUUAAAGAGUCGCCACUUAAUUUUGAAAAGGAAUUAAGAAACCUUUAGAGAGUUACUUCAAACGAUUCAACAAAGGAAAAUCGUUAAAGUUUAGAGAAUUCUGGGUAAGUGGUUCUUAUUAAUGUUUUAGGAAGGUGUUAGGCACCUAAAACAUCUGCUAACUUGCGGUUAUCCAGACUGUUUGAAAAUCGUCUUUAAUUAACUUCUAAAAGUGAUUGAUUUUUGGAAAGAAAGCUAUUUUGAAAAUAUUUUGGUGUUUAUACAAAACUAGUUUUUUAGCGACUUAACUAAGGAUUUAACUAGGUUCGCAAGAAGCACGUAAAACAAGUAAGCGAAAAGGAAAAGGGAAAAGGGAGAAAUAGUGACUUAGGCUCUUUAAGCCCAAAC
rnacentral:lncRNA from 1 species